CACCAGUUCUAUCAAAAGGAACGGGCCAAAAUUCCAACAAACUAUUAAAAGAAGCUUUUGGAAGGACACCCGAAACGUUUGACCUAUGUCAUAUACAGCAAAGGGCCAUUUGGGACAAGGCCAAGCUGCAGAAGGUGAUCUCGUUUGGGUCCAUUAGGACCAGGACCUCACACCACAAGAACAGUUUCUACCCUACUUUGUUUGCAUUAUUGAACUUUUGCUGUGUUUGCACCUGACAACACAACAAAUUCCUUGUGCUGUAAAUGUUACAUGACAAUAAAGUUCUUUUUGAUUCUGA